CGAACGGAGGUAGAGUAGGUAGAAGAGAGCCACGAGUAGAAUCGAGAAAGACAGACAGACAGACAGACAGACAAACAGACAGACAGAGAGAGAGAGAGAAAGAGAGAAAGAGAGAGAGAGAGAGAAAGAAAGAGAGAGAGAGAGAGAGAAAGAGAGAGAACGCCUCAGCGCGGGGAGAGCGCCGGGCCGCACCACCGCACCGCACAGUGCCGGUAUACGCGUCACGUAUAUCGUUGGCCAACGCGACAAGGAGCGGACACGAUUAUCGCGCUCCCACCGAUAAAAGGAAAGGAGCCUCCUCGAAUGAAACGUUUGGCGUGACACCAGGAGGACGCAGGAGAUACGAAGGAAAGAAGAGGAGUACCUAUUGAAGGUAUUAGGAAAAACAACAGCACACACUAGGUACGCGCGCGCGCGCGAUGGAAUGGACGGAUGACUCUACAGUAGUAACGGGUCGCGCACUAUGUGUAUGUCAGACUCCUUUGGCGUUUCGGUAGGUACAGAGAAGAGAACGCGCGCGUGUCCCUUUACCGACGAGCGGCACGGUGAGCGAAUACGAGCGAGCGAGACGGAGAAUGCAUCGAGCUGAAUAGACGGAGACAGAGAGAACAGAAAGAGAGAGAAAGAGAGAGAGAAUCGACGGUGGGAGGUGAAGGAGGAGGGAGUAAUGGCGAGAAGGAGAGAAGGGGAGGCACGUCGCGUCGUAUAUCCAACACAGCGCACGGCAUAAGUGAAAGUGAUUCAGCAGCAGCAGCGCAUGCCACCGCGCGCGCGGCCAGGUGCCCGCCACCUCCACCUCCACCGGGACCCACCACCACGACGACAACCACCACCACCACCACCACCACCACCACCACUCAAUCGUCGUCGCCGCCGCCGCCGCCGUGUUGGAAUGGAGGUGCCUCAGUACAUACUGGCCCGGUGCUGCUGCUGAUGCUGCCAGUGGUGGGAGGAAACGAGGGAGGGCGAGACGACGGAGGGACGGUACUGCCGCGAUCGAAGGGGGAGGACCGUCGCCGCCACCGCGCUCUGCCGUUCCUUAAGAGGGGAUGACCUACUUACGGAACCAGGUCUAUGUCGGCAGCAAAAGAAUUGUCCACUCGCCGACCUACCGGUUUCGCUCUUGCCCCUUAUCGCUCUGCGCCCUUCGCGUCUUUUUUCCUCUAUCUUCUUUCACUUCUCGAUAUCUUCCGACACGUUCCAACAAACGCACGCACGCACAUUGCCCGAUAAUUUAUUUAAGAAGCUCUUUCGUCUAUUUACUUUCUUGACAUAUCCUCCGCGUAUUAAAAACUUAAAAUGCGGGACUAACAUCGACAUCAUUUUUCAUAGAAGCCUCGAGGUAACGUGGCACGAAAGAGUGUGCAAGAUAAAAAAAAAAAAAAAAAAAAGGAAAAAAAAGAAAAAAGAAAUAAAAAGAAAAAAAAAGAAGAAAGAGAGAAAAAGAUCAAGCAAGAAGUAAGCAUAAAGAUAUAUAGUAGGGAAUGAGAAAAGCAAAAGCAAAGCAUGUAGAGAAGCAAGGGACGAGUGUGUAAACGGGCUCGGAGCAAGCGCGUGGUAGGUUGCGAGACAACGGGCCGUGGCUGGGUCAACAGUAACGCCGUUGGCACUCCCCGACAGAGGCAGUGGCUCUCAGUGUGUGCGUAUACUUGGUAGAUGUACGAGGCAAAAGAGGUGGGGAGACCCACUGACCCAGUUCGCUGAGAACAUGACGCAGCCGCGACUCGCUCCCUCUCGUUUCUUCUCUCCUCCUCCUCCUCCUCCUCCUCCUCCUCAUUCCUCCAACCACCUCUAUUCCCUCCCCUCAGACCCUCACCGCACUAUAUUCCCUCUCUGCGGCGCUCUCGCUCACGUACAUGCCGGAGGCACACGCACGCCGUCACCGCCGCCCACCAUCGCAUCCGUCGCACACCAAGUCGUUGCGUCGCUAUUUCUCUUUCUCUCUUUCUCUGGAUACGCGUUUCUCGCUCCUUACAAUUAGUGCUGCCAUGGGCUCUCUUUCUUCACCCUUCUUUUUCUUUUAUUCACCCUUUCAAAGACGUUUCUUACGAUUCUAGCAAUUUUUCUACUCCUUUCUCUCUCUCUCUCUCUCUCUCUCUCUCUCUCUCUCUCUCUCUCUCUCUCUCUCUCUCUCUUUAUAUCCCUAGAUCGUCGUUCCUCACAUGUCGCAUAAUGCUGCACGUAAUGCACACAUACUUGUCAACCAUGAAUGCACGCGCAAGUGCGUGUCGUCAUCGUCUUUGCGUGUCCGAAUGCUUGCUAGAAUCAUUUUCAAACGCAAAGAGGAGCCUCGAGUUUAUCGAAGAUAAAGAUAGAUAUAGAGAUUUUUUCUCUUUUUCUUUGUUUUUUUCUUUUUUUUUUUUUUGGAGCUUUUUACAUAGGGAGGAUCUCUAAUAGAUGGAUCGAUCGAUCGAUCGAUCAAACGAAGGAUCGAUUGAAAGGAAAGAGAGACGAGAAACCGCGAUGAGAUUAUACCUGUAGAUAAAGUUCUUUGUUCGGGCAAACACGAAUACGAAAUACCUGGACUGGAUUUUAUUUUGACCGUGGCUAUACGAUGAUAUUUACCGCAGGUAAAAAGCAUCGGCGAAAAAAAAUGGCGGACUGGUGGCGGCGCUGCCUACUGAUUGUGAGCGAGCCAAAGUGGGGGAGGGGUCUCGAGACGAAAACGAAAGGAAUACGAUCGGAACGUACGAAAGGGACGACGGAAGAAGGAACGAAAGAAAGUGAAAGCCAUGACCCAGAAACGCAAAGCAUCGAAGGCUCUUCGUCGUCGUUGUCGUGUUGUAUCGCUGUUUCAGAAAAGAACGACUCGAAUCGAUUGAGAAUACGCGAAGAAUCUAUCUUCUUAUCUCUAUCUCUCUCUCCCUUCCACCCUUUCUCUCUCUAUCUCUCUAUCCAUCUAUCUAUCUAUCUAUCUAUCUAUCUAUCUAUCUCACGUAUGCGACGACGAUUAUUCGAAAAAAUUCUCACUUCGAUGGUCUCUCUAAGAAGGAUGACAAAUAUCGAUUGGAAAAAAUCAACACACAAAGUCCUUAGUUGUUCGGCAUACUUUGGCCAGUUAUUUUUUAACAUCACAUACGCGAUAUAUGCCGGUAUUCCGCGCUACUGGCCGAUACAACGACAACGAUGAUACGCUAGCAUAAACUCGCGAUAACGAUAUAUAUAUAUAUAUAUAUGUCCGAUGUUAUACGACAGUAAAAUGAGUUCGUAAAACCACGAACAGUUCUUGCCCGUAUGGACAGAAAUUAUGCGAACAUUAUCAGAAUUACUCUAUUUCUAGGUCGAUUAGUAUUAUCUAUCGUAAUCCUUCCAACUGAAAAUACAUGUAUAUCGUUUCUCAUCUGUUACCCGGGACAUAAGCAUAAGAAGAAUGAUUUCCUUCAUCCCAUUAUUUCUCCCAUUACUUAGAAAGAAAUUCGCAAAAAUUCUGUUAAAGCGGUGCUAUCAUCGAGGAUAUUUUCUUUUUCUUUUUAAACGCAACUGGUACAGGUGCGAUAUCUAUAACUUGUAAUAUUCAACACAAAAGCGUGCUCGCUCCAUACCCCCUUACUCUCCUCCCACCCCGUAGUCUUCGUUGCUCACCCCCACCCCCUCUUUCUCUCUUCCAACAGCGCGUCUCGCUGUGUGAAGUGUGCCAAGGCCUACCCCACUCCGUAAUCCCAUUUUCGAAACUAAAAGUAAAAUCUAACUCAUUGUACGAUUUUACACGUACUCUGUUGUGAUAUAUAUAUAUAUAUAUAUAAAUCACAACAUAUAUAUAUAUAUAUAUUCGUUUUAACGUAUAUGUUAUAUUUGUAUACAUAAAGUCUUUCAAAUUAUAUUCCUUACUUCAUCUUACAUAGACGAAUGAUUUCAUCUAUGUCCUUUAUCCAUUUCAACGAUCGCGUUUGAAUUUUCGACAUUUACUCUUCUAAAACGUUGAUCGAUAUCAAGCAUGCUAUUUGUCCUGCAAUUUUCGUUCAGUAGGACUUGGAUGAUUUUACCAAGAUAAGCUAUUUUCCUUGGCAAACGAUUGAUCCUUAAAAUUACGAUCAGGUCUUUCGCGAAUUCGUUACAAAUUUAAAGUAAGAAUCGUUUUUUACAUAGAGAAAAAUAGGAGAAGAAAAAACGAAUGUUAAUGUAGAAAAUAUAUGUAUGUGUCUCGAUUAUAAAACGACGUACUCAGGCGCCUAUUGAGUUUUCGAAACGUGGCAUACGUCACAGGUAAAAAUAUAACUGACUUUUAAAUAAAACUGUAGGAAAAGAGAGGAGCGAUGAGAAGAGGAGAGGCAUCAGAAAGAGAGAGAAAGAGAGAGAGAAAGAGAGAGAGAAAGAGAGAGAGAAAAAGAGAGAGAAAAAGAGAGAAUCAGAGAAGAGAGAAACAUGUAGGACGGUACCAUCCAGAAAACGUAAAGUGCCGUUUUACAGGUCAGUUCGCGCGUCCUUGACACAGAUACCCACAUCGCGAGUUUCAUCGAUGUGUGUGUAUCUCUACGUUACAUAUUCCACUCGUCGCCAUACGUCGUGUGUUAUGCAUGUAUCUUAUUAUGCGUGUGUAUGUUACCUACAACGACGACGACGACGACGCCGAUGAUGAUGAUAUCCCUAUAUACGAUUGUAAGAAAGAGAGAGAGAAAGAGAGACAGAGAGGGAGAGAGAGAUUAGUCUCGAGAUGUGGAUGCUGUAUUAAAGUAUAGAAAAGAGUAUUAUAAUGUUGUGUUGGACGAUGAUGCAGUCGAGUAAGCGAUAAUGCAGCUAUACUAUGCAUCUAUACUAUAUAGGUUCUCCAUAGUCGAGCCGAUCGUUCGGAGAUAUUUGAAAGGAAGAAAAAAAAAGGAAAAAAAAAGGAAAAAAAAAGGAAAAAAAAGG